CCAACGGCUCUUUUCAGAGCCACCCACUUUCUUUAGCAAAGAGCUG
rfam:Leptosomus discolor contig6923, whole genome shotgun sequence.